AUUUGCAUCACUUAUGGUAUCGUUGUAUUGCCAUGUAUAAAUACUAAAACAAUGAGGGAAGAACCUCUACUCUCUCUUUUCUUGCAUUAUCUACUUUUAUCUUCCUUCAUUAUUUUCUCUCUGUAGUUAUAUUUGUUUCGCUUCAAAGUAUGCAGGAGUAAAAAUUGUUGAUUACAACAUUUCUAGUUCAUGGUUCUCUAUAUUCAUGCAUUCACUCUUUGAUCUGAUGGCCAUCUUGUUUUAUGCAGAACCAACUAAAAGUCUUCAUGAGAUUGCAAAGGUUUAACUGGUUGAUGUAUUUUCAAUGAAGGUUUUUAAAGACCAAGAUCAAGCUAGCCUCCAACUAGACCAUUGCCUACCACCCCCCACCAUCACUAAAGUUAGCUACACUUAUAUAUUUUAUUGUUUAUGUUUGUACACAUUUUUUUAUUUUGGUCAAAAUGUUUUGAAUGUUUAUGUACACAUUUGAAUCUUUUUUUAUUAUGCAAUGAAAAUUAUUUAUGUAAUGACAA